CCCUUAGAUGUCCUGGGCCGCACGCGCGUUACACUGAUGCAUUCAACGAGCUUAUAACCUUGGCCGAGAGGCCUGGGCAAUCUUGUUAACGUGCAUCGUGAUAGGGAUAGAUUAUUGAAAUUAUUAAUCUUGAACGAGGAAUUCCUAGUAAACGCAGAUCAUCAAUCUGCAUUGAUUACGUCCCUGCCCUUUGUACACACCGCCCGUCGCACCUACCGAUUGAAUGGUCCGGUGAAAUCUUCGGAUUGAGACUUUGAUUUCUUCACGGAAAACGCUGUUUUAAGAAGUUGAUUAAACCUUACCAUUUAGAGGAAGGUGAAGUCGUAACA
rnacentral:rRNA from 1 species